rnacentral:rRNA from 1 species
UGGGGAAUAUUGCACAAUGGGCGCAAGCCUGAUGCAGCCAUGCCGCGUGUAUGAAGAAGGCCUUCGGGUUGUAAAGUACUUUCAGCGGGGAGGAAGGCGAUAAGGUUAGUAACCUUGUCGAUUGACGUUACCCGCAGAAGAAGCACCGGCUAACUCCGUGCCAGCAGCCGCGGUAAUACGGAGGGUGCAAGCGUUAAUCGGAAUUACUGGGCGUAAAGCGCACGCAGGCGGUCUGUCAAGUCGGAUGUGAAAUCCCCGGGCUCAACCUGGGAACUGCAUUCGAAACUGGCAGGCUAGAGUCUUGUAGAGGGGGGUAGAAUUCCAGGUGUAGCGGUGAAAUGCGUAGAGAUCUGGAGGAAUACCGGUGGCGAAGGCGGCCCCCUGGACAAAGACUGACGCUCAGGUGCGAAAGCGUGGGGAGCAAACA